AUUGAACGCUGGCGGCAGGCUUAACACAUGCAAGUCGAGCGAGCGGCGGACGGGUGAGUAAUGUCUGGGAAACUGCCUGAUGGAGGGGGAUAACUACUGGAAACGGUAGCUAAUACCGCAUACCAUCAGAUGUGCCCAGAUGGGAUUAGCUAGUAGGUGGGGUAAAGGCUACCCUAGGCGACAAUCCCUAGCUGGUCUGAGAGGAUGACCAGCCAAACUGGAACUGAGACACGGUCCAGACUCCUACGGGAGGCAGCAGUGGGGAAUAUUGCACAAUGGGCGCAAGCCUGAUGCAGCCAUGCCGCGUGUGUGAAGAAGGCCGUCGGGUUGUAAAGCACUUUAAGCUGGGAGGCGUUACCAGCAGAAUAAGCACCGGCUAACUCCGUGCCAGCAGCCGCGGUAAUAC
rnacentral:rRNA from 1 species